rnacentral:tRNA from 1 species
GCCGCGCAGCCCGGUGAUCGAACUUGUAAAGCGAAGGUCGUCGGUUCGAACCCGACAGGCGGCU